AAAACAAACAAACAAAAAACUAGGUCUAUACAUUAGAGAACUUCCAGCAGUUUCUCAAUGUGUCACUUGCAAUGUGAUCUGUCAGGUUGCUAGUGAGAUGGGUCAGAAUGAACCCAGCCAGGGAGGCCAACAUGGAGUUAAUAACACUGUCAGUGAGGCUGCCUUUGAGGGACAGGUUGGACAAGCUGCACACCCUGCAUCCAAAGAGGCACAGUGUCCACGACACUGCCCAUGUUCAAAAUCUGGCUCCCAUAUGCAGGAUCUAAGGACAGCUGCUCCAGGUUUG
rnacentral:lncRNA from 1 species